CAAGGUAGGGAGAGCUGUACACCACCACCUCCUCCUCUAACUGGACCUCAAUGGACACACUGGACAGCACCCCCUGAAUAAAUCGUGUCCAGUUAAAACCCUGGAAAACAAAAGGCACGAACAAAAAAACUUGGCUGAUCUCCUAUGUCGACACUAAAUGCAGCCCGGUUCUCUCAUUUACUGGAAGCAGAGAGGAGUUCCAGCACUUGCAUCAUUUCCUCCCACACACGGUCGUCAUCCUGAGUCAAGUUCCUGUCCUCUCGGGUUAUCUUCGCGAUAGAAACCAUGAAAUGUAGGUAGGCCUCUCGAACCUAU